GGAAGAACCAUAGCUCAGUGGUAGAGCAUCUGCUUUCGUGUAUAAAGUCCCAGGUCCAAUCCCUGGUUAUCUCCA